ACGAACGCUGGCGGCGUGCUUAACACAUGCAAGUCGCACGGAAAGGCCCUGCUUUUGUGGGGUGCUCGAGUGGCGAACGGGUGAGUAACACGUGAGUAACCUGCCCUUGACUUUGGGAUAACUUCAGGAAACUGGGGCUAAUACCGGAUAGGAGCUCCUGCUGCAUGGUGGGGGUUGGAAAGUUUCGGCGGUUGGGGAUGGACUCGCGGCUUAUCAGCUUGUUGGUGGGGUAGUGGCUUACCAAGGCUUUGACGGGUAGCCGGCCUGAGAGGGUGACCGGCCACAUUGGGACUGAGAUACGGCCCAGACUCCUACGGGAGGCAGCAGUGGGGAAUAUUGCACAAUGGGCGGAAGCCUGAUGCAGCAACGCCGCGUGCGGGAUGACGGCCUUCGGGUUGUAAACCGCUUUCGCCUGUGACGAAGCGUGAGUGAUGGUAAUGGGUAAAGAAGCACCGGCUAACUACGUG
rnacentral:rRNA from 1 species